GACGAACGCUGGCGGCGUGCUUAACACAUGCAAGUCGAACGGUAAGGCUCCAGCUUGCUGGGGUACACGAGUGGCGAACGGGUGAGUAACACGUGGGUGACCUGCCCUGCACUUCGGGAUAAGCCUGGGAAACUGGGUCUAAUACCGGAUAGGACCGCACCGUGAGGGUGUGGUGGAAAGUUUUUUCUGUGUGGGAUGGGCCCUCGGCCUAUCAGCUUGUGGGUGGGGUAAUGGCCUACCAAGGCACGAGACGGGUAGCCGGGCUGAGAGGGUGGACGGUCGCAUUGGGACUUAAACCCGGACCCAACUCCUACGGGAGAGCACAGUGAGUAAUAUUGGACAAUGAGCGAAAGCCUGAUGCACCUACGCCGCGUGGGGGAUGACGGCUUUCGGGCUGCUAACUCCCUUCACCAUCGACGAAGGGUUUCUGACGUNAGAUGAGAAAGAAGCACCGGCUAACUACGUGCCAGCAGCCGCGGUAAUACGUAGGGUGCGAGCGUGUCCGGAAUUAUUGGGCGUAAAGAGCUCGUAGGUGGUUUGUCGCGUCGUCUGUGAAAUUCCGGGGCUUAACUCCGGGCGUGCAGGCGAUACGGGCAUAACUUGAGUACUGUAGGGGAGACUGGAAUUCCUGGUGUAGCGGUGAAAUGCGCAGAUAUCAGGAGGAACACCGGUGGCGAAGGCGGGUCUCUGGGCAGUAACUGACGCUGAGGAGCGAAAGCAUGGGGAGCGAACAGGAUUAGAUACCCUGGUAGUCCAUGCCGUAAACGGUGGGCGCUAGGUGUGGGUUUCCUUCCACGGGAUCCGUGCCGUAGCUAACGCAUUAAGCGCCCCGCCUGGGGAGUACGGCCGCAAGGCUAAAACUCAAAGGAAUUGACGGGGGCCCGCACAAGCGGCGGAGCAUGUGGAUUAAUUCGAUGCAACGCGAAGAACCUUACCUGGGCUUGACAUAUACAGGAUCGCGCCAGAGAUGGUGUUUCCCUUGUGGCUUGUAUACAGGUGGUGCAUGGUUGUCGUCAGCUCGUGUCGUGAGAUGUUGGGUUAAGUCCCGCAACGAGCGCAACCCUUGUCUUAUGUUGCCAGCACGUUGUGGUGGGGACUCGUAAGAAACUGCCGGGGUUAACUCGGAGGAAGGUGGGGAUGACGUCAAAUCAUCAUGCCCCUUAUGUCCAGGGCUUCACACAUGCUACAAUGGUCGGUACAGUGGGUUGCCAGUCCGUGAGGGCGAGCUAAUCCCGCAAAGCCGGUCUCAGUUCGGAUCGGGGUCUGCAACUCGACCCCGUGAAGUCGGAGUCGCUAGUAAUCGCAGAUCAGCAACGCUGCGGUGAAUACGUUCCCGGGCC
rnacentral:rRNA from 1 species